AACGCACCUUGCGCUCCCUGGCAUUCCAGGGAGCAUGCCUGUUUGAGUGUCACGUAAUCAUCUCGACCUUGCAAUUUGUUUUGCAUGGGAGAGGACUUGGACCGUGCUGGAAUCCGGCUCGUCCUGAAAUUCAUUAGCCUGGUCUGAAGCUGGCCCUUCCGGUGUGAUAGACAUCUACGCCAAUGGGUGCUGCUUUUCAUUAUCCUGGCUUCUAAAAAACCAAUCAACCAUAAUGCUCUGGCCUCAAAUCAGGUAGGACUACCCGCUGAACUUAA
rnacentral:misc_RNA from 1 species